ACGAUAACGGCGUCGAGCGGCGGACGGGUGAGUAAUGCCUAGGAAAUUGCCCUGAUGUGGGGGAUAACCAUUGGAAACGAUGGCUAAUACCGCAUAAUGCCUACGGGCCAAAGAGGGGGACCUUCGGGCCUCUCGCGUCAGGAUAUGCCUAGGUGGGAUUAGCUAGUUGGUGAGGUAAUGGCUCACCAAGGCGACGAUCCCUAGCUGGUCUGAGAGGAUGAUCAGCCACACUGGAACUGAGACACGGUCCAGACUCCUACGGGAGGCAGCAGUGGGGAAUAUUGCACAAUGGGCGCAAGCCUGAUGCAGCCAUGCCGCGUGUGUGAAGAAGGCCUUCGGGUUGUAAAGCACUUUCAGUCGUGAGGAAGGUAGUGUAGUUAAUAGCUGCAUUAUUUGACGUUAGCGACAGAAGAAGCACCGGCUAACUCCGUGCCAGCAGCCGCGGUAAUACGGAGGGUGCGAGCGUUAAUCGGAAUUACUGGGCGUAAAGCGCAUGCAGGUGGUUUGUUAAGUCAGAUGUGAAAGCCCGGGGCUCAACCUCGGAAUUGCAUUUGAAACUGGCAGACUAGAGUACUGUAGAGGGGGGUAGAAUUUCAGGUGUAGCGGUGAAAUGCGUAGAGAUCUGAAGGAAUACCGGUGGCGAAGGCGGCCCCCUGGACAGAUACUGACACUCAGAUGCGAAAGCGUGGGGAGCAAACAGGAUUAGAUACCCUGGUAGUCCACGCCGUAAACGAUGUCUACUUGGAGGUUGUGGCCUUGAGCCGUGGCUUUCGGAGCUAACGCGUUAAGUAGACCGCCUGGGGAGUACGGUCGCAAGAUUAAAACUCAAAUGAAUUGACGGGGGCCCGCACAAGCGGUGGAGCAUGUGGUUUAAUUCGAUGCAACGCGAAGAACCUUACCUACUCUUGACAUCCAGAGAACUUU
rnacentral:rRNA from 1 species